GACGAACGCUGGCGGCGUGCCUAAUACAUGCAAGUCGAACGCACUCUCGUUUAGAUUGAAGGAGCUUGCUCCUGAUUGAUAAACAUUUGAGUGAGUGGCGGACGGGUGAGUAACACGUGGGUAACCUGCCCUAAAGUGGGGGAUAACAUUUGGAAACAGAUGCUAAUACCGCAUAAAACCUAAACACCGCAUGGUGUAGGGUUGAAAGAUGGUUUCGGCUAUCACUUUAGGAUGGACCCGCGGUGCAUUAGUUAGUUGGUGAGGUAAAGGCUCACCAAGACCGUGAUGCAUAGCCGACCUGAGAGGGUAAUCGGCCACACUGGGACUGAGACACGGCCCAGACUCCUACGGGAGGCAGCAGUAGGGAAUCUUCCACAAUGGACGAAAGUCUGAUGGAGCAACGCCGCGUGAGUGAAGAAGGUUUCGGAUACGUAAAACUCUGUUGUUGGAGAAGAAUGUAUCUGAU
rnacentral:rRNA from 1 species